rnacentral:snRNA from 1 species
UUUUAUGCGAACUCUCUUUAUCAUUUUGUGAUCUCAACAAAGUGGUUUUCUCAGGUUCGCAAUAAUAGCAAUCGAAUGUUAAACACCUGCCUAUUUCUAUCGUAAAUCGACGGGUGUGCCGCAUUUGUACAAUAACUAGGACCUUAGUG